GGCAGUAUGUCGGCUCUGGAAAAGUACCCUGGAAAAGUAAUCAUGCUCCUGAGGUGGCAGGGAAGUCAGUGUGCCUCUGCCACUUUGCUCCAUGCCCACCUGAAAGGAUAACAUGCUUAAAAAUGCUCUGCUGGACUGCUCGCUGCCAGGACGCUUGGAGCAGGGCUGCCACUUGGUACAUGAGUUAUUCCCUUCCAAGGUCACUUCAGGAAUUCAGUAGUUUGUGCUGCCUGUCACAGGUUUAGGUUGUGCUAAGGCAGUGAUACCAGUGUUGAGCAGACCAAUACAGAGCACGCAUUGUUUACUGCAGUUUUCACACUCUUAUCUGAGAGGAAAAGGCCAGCACAUGAUCUCACCUGGAUUUGUUUUCCAGCCUCGUGCUGUUUGUAAAGGACACUGUAUACUUGGUCAGAAAUAAUGGCUUCCUGUUUCAUUAAUGAGUUCUUAGAGCAAUUUCCCUUCAGAGUAAUCACCUUGGGUGAAGGAGGUGUGCACUUCCAAAAGCAAUUGGCCCUCUCAGUGGGUCAUACUGGGGGCACCAUUCUCCUCCAAGAGAAAAAGCACUCUGGUUUGGGUGUCUCAGUUUGGAUGGUAAAGAAAGCAGUGCUGCCAGAAUCAUCAGUCACGUGAAGCUGUCAGUCAAAAUGUCUCCUGGGAUUAAAAAAACCCUCCUUGGGAAAGGUAUGUUUCCAGCAUGUAGUACCAUACCACCUAGGGGGGGAAAAAAUAAAAAUGUUGCUUUGAUUGCUCUCCAAAUAUGUGGUUGUAUUACUCAGAAGCUGCCUCUUCAGGGCUGCACUUUUUAAAUUUGUUGCUGCAAAAAUCCUCAGGAACUUUGAUCCAAGCAUCCCAGGACUUCUGAUAUCCCAGGAUUUUUAGGAGCUCUGAUUUGGAACUGACCUUCCUGUUUCACUACAAACUAUUUACUCCUGUCACUCACCCAAUCACUCAUAUUAGAGAAAAUAGUAACACACAUGCACUUAUUUGUACAGCCUUUGGAACUGCUACUACAGGAUUGUCAUGCUCCAAUUAGAGCUGGCCAGGAAGUGCACUUGGAGCAAUGUCAGAGAGAGCAAACCAGUUGUGGGUGUUUGGGUCAAGUGUGGCAGAUUCCAGGGCUAGUGCUGGAUUGCAGGGGCUGAGGUGGAGGCAGGCCAGCAGCAUCAUCCUCCAGCUCUGAAUUUUAUCACCAUAGGUAAGCUCUAAUUUGAGGAAGAAAAACGCAGUUUAAUUUUCCCCACCUUAGUUAUAAAUCUAACUUAACCUAAUUCAUAUUUUAAUGAGUUGGAUCCUCAGCUGUACUCCAUUACUCUUCUGUCUGGUUUGAUUCAUUGCCUUGUUUUCUAGAUUUGGCACUUGCUUGGUUUAACACAAACUGGGAAGGCUGAGCAAAGCGCAGGUGCUCACUGGCUGGUCCUGCUUUCAGCCCAUAGCCUGGGGGACUCAUCUUGACUUUGUUCUCCUGUACAAAUGUAUGGUUGGGUUUAUGGCUGUGCUCUGAUUUAGCUGACUCUGGAAGUGCCUUUGGCUGCAGGUGGUGAAACAAGGGGCCUCUAUGACACAUCAUCUGGAUGGACAUGGUCUUAUUGUAGACUUGCAACUCUGCAAGCUGAAUAUUGAAAUGGUCAGUGGAAACCUGCACUCAGCUCCAAGUGAGCAGAGAAACCUGAGAGUGCAUGACACAAUUUGGGAAAAGUUACAGAAAUAAUGCAUAGACAGAGGAAUUCCCAUCUGUUCAGCCUGUCUUCUUCCAGACAUUUCUUCAUCUGUGCAUUGCUGUGUGCAUCUCCUGAGAAGGUGAAUCCCAAGCUCACAGGUUGCUUUGGAAUUUUUGGCAGUGGUGACUCUGAGCGUGGGCUUGGGAAGCUCCCAAGGAGAAGGACCAUCUUGCAGGUAAUUUUACAUCCUGAGGUGUCUCAUUAGCAGACUCAUCUUCUCAGUCUCAGGAAGAAGCGAGAUCAAAGGCAGGAGAGGAGUGAGAUAACAAAAUCAGUUCUAAUAAAAGUAAUGGAUGUCUCAAUUUUUACUUCCCUUAAACAGGAGUAUUUAUUGCUCCUCUUUGAAUUUUGCAAAGCCUUUUGAGAGUUGCACUCAUUUUUGAGCUCAGACAUCACUGCACAUUUUGCCUUAUGCAGCUGUCUUUUAUCAUUAGGGAAGAAGUAAUAAUUCAGACCUCAAAUUUAGCUUUUGUCUAAAAGAAAUGAGGUUGAUAUAUGCACUGCCUACACAACAGGAUACCAUAUAAUCCCCUCAUCUGUUAGAAGGGCACAAGUUAUGUAUGCUAAUCCUCAACCUAGAUGUAUGUGUUUGUAGCUGUUACUUUCUGAUAGUUGUUUUAUUAUGCAUCUUUUACUGCAGUGGGAAGUGGGUGACACAGGGGAGACGUGAACUUGUUUGCUGUAUGUGUAAGUUUGCUGUGGGCAAGUGCUUUAGGUUUAAAGCAGUGACUGCAGGUCAAGGGUAGCCACACUACUCAGAGAGACUGGUCUUUUUUCAUUGUCUUGGUGGAAUACAUUGCAAAGUCGAUACACAUCAAAGUGGCAAAACUAGAUUAAAUUCUAGAAGUUCUUUAGGAGUGUAAGAAAUUAGUAGGAAAAACAAUUUUAUCUAAAAGAGGUUUGAUUUUUGCUUUCCCUGUGUCAUGCUGACCAAGGUGUGACAAGCCUCAGUGAAUGGUAUCUAUGAAUCCAGAUUUCAGAACCAUGAGAUGAGCUUAAAAACAGUGACAUGUAAAAAUUAAAUGGGAAGUUUGCUUAAUGUGACUUCUGGCCCCUGAAUUUUUACUCAAGGCCCCUUUUUAAUUCUU